GAUGAACGCUGGCGGCGUGCCUAAUACAUGCAAGUCGAGCGAACGGACGAGAAGCUUGCUUUUCUGAUGUUAGCGGCGGACGGGUGAGUAACACGUGGAUAACCUACCUAUAAGACUGGGAUAACUUCGGGAAACCGGAGCUAAUACCGGAUAAUAUUUUGAACCGCAUGGUUCAAAAGUGAAAGACGGUCUUGCUGUCACUUCUAGAUGGAUCCGCGCUGCAUUAGCUAGUUGGUAAGGUAACGGCUUACCAAGGCAACGAUGCAUAGCCGACCUGAGAGGGUGAUCGGCCACACUGGAACUGAGACACGGUCCAUACGCCUACGGGAGGCAGCAGUAGGGAAUCGUCGGCAGUGGGCGAAAGCCUGACGGAGCAACGCCGCGUGAGUGAUGAAGGUCUUCGGAUCGUAAAACUCUGUUAUUAGGGAAGAACAUAUGUGUAAGUAACUGUGCACAUCUUGACGGUACCUAAUCAGAAAGCCACGGCUAACUACGUG
rnacentral:rRNA from 1 species